rnacentral:ncRNA from 1 species
CAAAGGCCUGGUCCUGGCUUUACUGUCGGCUUUAACCAAAAUUACACAUGCAAGUAUCCGCACCCCCGUGAGGAUGCCCUCGAUCCCCCCUCCGGAGACGAGGAGCAGGUAUCAGGCACGCACCACGCAGCCCAAGACGCCUUGUUUAGCCACACCCCCAAGGGAAUUCAGCAGUGAUAAACAUUGAGCCAUAAGCGAAAGCUUGACUCAGUUAAAGUUAAGAGGGCCGGUAAAACUCGUGCCAGCCACCGCGGUUAUACGAGAGGCCCUAGUUGACAGCUAUCGGCGUAAAGCGUGAUUAUAGGACGCUAAACAACUAAAGCCAAAAACCCUCCGGGCCGUCAUACGCAUCCGAGGGCGCGAGGCCCUAUUACGAAAGUAGCUUUAACAAAAAGCACCUAGAACUCACGACAGCUGGGAAACAAACUGGGAUUAGAUACCCCACUAUGCCCAGCCAUAAACCCUGAUAAUAAGGUACAAAUAUUAUCCGCCAGGGGACUACAAGCAUUAGCUCGAAACCCAAAGGACUUGGCGGUGCCCCAGACCCACCUAGAGGAGCCUGUUCUAGAACUGAUAACCCCCGUUUAACCUCACCACCCCUUGCCAACCCCGUCUAUAUACCGCCGUCGUCAGCUUACCCUGUGAAGGAUUAAUAGUAAGCAAGAUGGGUACAACCCAGAACGUCAGGUCGAGGUGUAGCGUAUGAGGUGGGAAGAAAUGGGCUACAUUUUCUGCAAGACAGAAUAUUACGAACGACUACCAUGAAAUUGGUGUCUGAAGGUGGAUUUAGCAGUAAAAAGAAAGCAGAGUGUUCUUUUGAAGCCGGCUCUGGGACGCGCACACACCGCCCGUCACUCUCCCCUAACAUGGUACAAAAAUUUAAAUAAAACAUUACAACCGAACAAGAGGAGACAAGUCGUAACAUGGUAAGUGUACCGGAAGGUGCACUUGGAAUAAG